rnacentral:rRNA from 1 species
CCGGCGAUGUCCGAAUGGGGAAACCCAGUGCAAUUCGUUGCACUAUCGUUAACUGAAUACAUAGGUUAACGAGGCGAACCGGGGGAACUGAAACAUCUAAGUACCCCGAGGAAAAGAAAUCAACCGAGAUUCCCCCAGUAGCGGCGAGCGAACGGGGAGCAGCCCAGAGUCUGAAUCAGCUUGUGUGUUAGUGGAACGGUCUGGAAAGUCCGACGGUACAGGGUGAUAGUCCCGUACACCAAAAUGCACAGGCUGUGAACUCGAAGAGUAGGGCGGGACACGUGGUAUCCUGUCUGAAUAUGGGGGGACCAUCCUCCAAGGCUAAAUACUCCUGACUGACCGAUAGUGAACCAGUACCGUGAGGGAAAGGCGAAAAGAACCCCGGCGAGGGGAGUGAAAAAGAACCUGAAACCGUGUACGUACAAGCAGUGGGAGCACCUUCGGGUGUGACUGCGUACCUUUUGUAUAAUGGGUCAGCGACUUAUAUUCUGUAGCAAGGUUAACCGUAUAGGGGAGCCGCAGGGAAACCGAGUCUUAACUGGGCGUUAAGUUGCAGGGUAUAGACCCGAAACCCGGUGAUCUAGCCAUGGGCAGGUUGAAGGUUGGGUAACACUAACUGGAGGACCGAACCGACUAAUGUUGAAAAAUUAGCGGAUGACUUGUGGCUGGGGGUGAAAGGCCAAUCAAACCGGGAGAUAGCUGGUUCUCCCCGAAAGCUAUUUAGGUAGCGCCUCGUGAAUUCAUCUUCGGGGGUAGAGCACUGUUUCGGCUAGGGGGUCAUCCCGACUUACCAACCCGAUGCAAACUACGAAUACCGAAGAAUGUUAUCACGGGAGACACACGGCGGGUGCUAACGUCCGUCGUGAAGAGGGAAACAACCCAGACCGCCAGCUAAGGUCCCAAAGUCAUGGUUAAGUGGGAAACGAUGUGGGAAGGCACAGACAGCCAGGAUGUUGGCUUAGAAGCAGCCAUCAUUUAAAGAAAGCGUAAUAGCUCACUGGUCGAGUCGGCCUGCGCGGAAGAUGUAACGGGGCUAAACCAUGCACCGAAGCUGCGGCAGCGACACUAUGUGUUGUUGGGUAGGGGAGCGUUCUGUAAGCCUGCGAAGGUGACCUGUGAGGGUUGCUGGAGGUAUCAGAAGUGCGAAUGCUGACAUAAGUAACGAUAAAGCGGGUGAAAAGCCCGCUCGCCGGAAGACCAAGGGUUCCUGUCCAACGUUAAUCGGGGCAGGGUGAGUCGACCCCUAAGGCGAGGCCGAAAGGCGUAGUCGAUGGGAAACAGGUUAAUAUUCCUGUACUUGGUGUUACUGCGAAGGGGGGACGGAGAAGGCUAUGUUAGCCGGGCGACGGUUGUCCCGGUUUAAGCAUGUAGGCUGGUUAUCCAGGCAAAUCCGGAUAAUCAAGGCUGAGGUGUGAUGACGAGGCACUACGGUGCUGAAGUAACAAAUGCCCUGCUUCCAGGAAAAGCCUCUAAGCAUCAGGUAACAUCAAAUCGUACCCCAAACCGACACAGGUGGUCAGGUAGAGAAUACCAAGGCGCUUGAGAGAACUCGGGUGAAGGAACUAGGCAAAAUGGUGCCGUAACUUCGGGAGAAGGCACGCUGGUGUGUAGGUGAAGCCCCUGCGGGUGGAGCUGAGACCAGUCGAAGAUACCAGCUGGCUGCAACUGUUUAUUAAAAACACAGCACUGUGCAAACACGAAAGUGGACGUAUACGGUGUGACGCCUGCCCGGUGCCGGAAGGUUAAUUGAUGGGGUUAUCCGUAAGGAGAAGCUCUUGAUCGAAGCCCCGGUAAACGGCGGCCGUAACUAUAACGGUCCUAAGGUAGCGAAAUUCCUUGUCGGGUAAGUUCCGACCUGCACGAAUGGCGUAAUGAUGGCCAGGCUGUCUCCACCCGAGACUCAGUGAAAUUGAACUCGCUGUGAAGAUGCAGUGUACCCGCGGCAAGACGGAAAGACCCCGUGAACCUUUACUAUAGCUUGACACUGAACAUUGAGCCUUGAUGUGUAGGAUAGGUGGGAGGCUUUGAAGCGUGGACGCCAGUCUGCGUGGAGCCAACCUUGAAAUACCACCCUUUAAUGUUUGAUGUUCUAACGUUGGCCCCUUACCGGGGUUGCGGACAGUGUCUGGUGGGUAGUUUGACUGGGGCGGUCUCCUCCCAAAGCGUAACGGAGGAGCACGAAGGUUAGCUAAUCCUGGUCGGACAUCAGGAGGUUAGUGCAAUGGCAUAAGCUAGCUUGACUGCGAGCGUGACGGCGCGAGCAGGUGCGAAAGCAGGUCAUAGUGAUCCGGUGGUUCUGAAUGGAAGGGCCAUCGCUCAACGGAUAAAAGGUACUCCGGGGAUAACAGGCUGAUACCGCCCAAGAGUUCAUAUCGACGGCGGUGUUUGGCACCUCGAUGUCGGCUCAUCACAUCCUGGGGCUGAAGUAGGUCCCAAGGGUAUGGCUGUUCGCCAUUUAAAGUGGUACGCGAGCUGGGUUUAGAACGUCGUGAGACAGUUCGGUCCCUAUCUGCCGUGGGCGCUGGAGAAUUGAGGGGGGCUGCUCCUAGUACGAGAGGACCGGAGUGGACGCAUCACUGGUGUUCGGGUUGUCAUGCCAAUGGCACUGCCCGGUAGCUAAAUGCGGAAGAGAUAAGUGCUGAAAGCAUCUAAGCACGAAACUUGCCCCGAGAUGAGUUCUCCCUGAGACUUUAAGUCUCCUGAAGGAACGUUAAAGACGAUGACGUUGAUAGGCCGGGUGUGUAAGCGCAGCGAUGCGUUGAGCUAACCGGUACUAAUGAACCGUGAGGCUUAACCUU